GUGGGAGGAAGCCGAACAGCUGGUGGUAGAAGCGCAGGCGCGCGCGCCGCAGCAGCCCGACUUGUUGUUGGCCCAGGCCGUAGCCGCCGCGCACGCCGGCAAGCCUGCUGAGGUCUCCAGCCGCUACCUAGCACAGCUCCUCGACAGCCACCCAGAACACCCAUUCACAAAGGAAUACAACGCCAAGAGCAACGAGUUCAAGCGGCUCGCCGCCCAGUAUCAGCCCUCUGUAGCAAGUUGAACCUUGACGCAAGGCAAGAGAGUUUAUUAUACUGUAUCACUUAUAUCAUGAGUUAAAGAUUUAUGUAUUAUGGUAAA